GGACUACCAGGGUUUCUAAUCCCUUUUGCUCCCCACGCUUUCGUGCCUGAGCGUCAGUAACUGUCCAGGUAACCGCCUUCGCCUCUGGUGUUCCUCACGAUAUCUACGCAUUUCACUGCUACACCGUGAAUUCCGUUACCCUCUCCAGUACUCUAGCCAUGUAGUUUUAGGUGCAAUUCCGAGGUUAAGCCUCGGGCUUUCACGCCUAACACACUUGGCCGCCUGCGCACCCUUUACGCCCAGUGAAUCCGAAUAACGCUUGCAGUCUCUGUAUUACCGCGGCUGCUGGCAC
rnacentral:rRNA from 1 species